rnacentral:rRNA from 1 species
UACGAAGGACCCAAGCGUUAUCCGGAUUCACUGGGUUUAAAGGGUGCGUAGGUGGGCAGUUAAGUCAGUGGUGAAAUCUCCGGGCUUAACCCGGAAACUGCCAUUGAUACUAUCUGUCUUGAAUAUCGUGGAGGUAAGCGGAAUAUGUCAUGUAGCGGUGAAAUGCUUAGAUAUGACAUAGAACACCAAUUGCGAAGGCAGCUUACUACCCGAAUAUUGACACUGAGGCACGAAAGCGUGGGGAUCAAACAGG